GAUGAAGAACGUAGCGAAAUGCGAUAAGUAAUGUGAAUUGCAGAAUUCAGUGAAUCAUCGAAUCUUUGAACGCACCUUGCGCCUUUUGGUAUUCCGAAAGGCACACCUGUUUGAGCGUCAUGAAUACCUCAAUCUCCAUCUUUUCUUCGGAUUGAUGGGUGACUUGGAUGUUGAGCCCUGCUGGUAUGCUAUAUCAGCUGGCUUUAAACUUAUUAGCCGGCUCUGUACUGGAUCGGUUUGACUCGACGUGAUAAUAUUAUCGUUGAGGAUGCAUGUCUCAUGCAGCCGGAAAGUAUCAAAGCAGCUUCUAGCUUGCCUUUAGUGCACUUUUACAUUUUAGACCUCAGAUCAGGUGGGACUACCCGCUGAACUUAAGCAUAUCAAAUAAGCGGAGGA
rnacentral:misc_RNA from 1 species